rnacentral:rRNA from 1 species
GAUGAACGCUGGCGGCGUGCCUAAUACAUGCAAGUCGAGCGAACGGACGAGAAGCUUGCUUCUCUGAUGUUAGCGGCGGACGGGUGAGUAACACGUGGAUAACCUACCUAUAAGACUGGGAUAACUUCGGGAAACCGGAGCUAAUACCGGAUAAUAUUUUGAACCGCAUGGUUCAAAAGUGAAAGACGGUCUUGCUGUCACUUAUAGAUGGAUCCGCGCUGCAUUAGCUAGUUGGUAAGGUAACGGCUUACCAAGGCAACGAUGCAUAGCCGACCUGAGAGGGUGAUCGGCCACACUAGAACUGAGACACGGUCCAGACUCCUACGGGAGGCAGCAGUAGGGAAUCUUCCGCAAUGGGCGAAAGCCUGACGGAGCAGCGCCGCGUGAGUGAUGAAGGUCUUCGGAUCGUAAAACUCUGUUAUUAGGGAAGAACAUAUGUGUAAGUAACUGUGCACAUCUUGACGGUACCUAAUCAGAAAGCCACGGCUAACUACGUG